GUUAAACACUAAGUGUGAGUGAAAAUGUCUGGUUUUUCUUCCAUAGCACCUCCUUCUUUCAAUGGAGACAACUAUCCAGUUUGGGUAGUGAAGAUGAGAUCUUUUCUGAAAGCAAUGAAUUUGUGGGAAUCUGUAGAAUCAGAUGCAGAUCCAACUCCUCUUGGAAGGGAUCCCACUUUGGCACAGAUCAAGAAGUAUGAGGAAGAUAAAGCAAAGAAACAUAAGGCUCUCACCUGUAUCCAUUCAGCAAUGACAGAUGCUACCUUUUCCAGAAUUAUGGCCUGUGAAACAGCAAAGGAAGCUUGGGAUAAGUUGAAAGAAGAGUUUGAAGGGAGUGAUAGAGUAAAAUCAGUCAAGCUCCUCACUUUAAA
rnacentral:misc_RNA from 1 species